CUUCUUCCUAACAUCACCUUUUCAAUUCAAAGUAUUUUUGGAAAGUGUUGCCAAGAAGUUUGAUCUACCCACCCUGGAUAUUAAAGUCUAUGAUGAAACCAGGACCGAAAUCGAUGAUGAGGCAUUCAAAUACAUUCUAAAACAACAGGAUAUUGGGGUUUUAGAAAUUGUGAUCCCAACAGCAAGCGUUGAUGGUAAAAUAACUUUACGUUUUAACUUCUAGAUAUGAGUUUUUUAAUCAUCUCCGCAAUGACAUAUCGUUCACAUUUAACCUUUUCUGAGUUGUGCAGCUCAUGCUGUAAACAUUUUGUGUCCCAUGAAACAUUAUUUUGUAGAUUCCUUCAGUUCUAGUUUGAUUGGCGAUGGUGAGCCUUCAUCAGGAUCUGAUGACACAGCAAUAGUGAUCAGAAAUCCCUCAGAAAAAGAGAUGCAGAGGAUCGUCGUCUGGGUCGAGUAAGAUCAAUAGAUUGUUUAUGUCCUUUUUGUAACUUUGUUGCAACCAUAUAUAUGCUCUUGUUAAUCUGUGUACUCUGUGUGUUCUCUGUGUACUGUCAAUCACCUCUCCCAAGAUGAUUGAGGACAUCCUCAAGAGUAGCCCUGGAGGUGAUAAGAUCACACAUGAGUAUGCUCGCACAAAAACAUUGUCAGAUGUCAGAAGACGUGACCUAGUGAAAAUACUAGUUGCACAUCUGACAAAUGAGCAUGGCACAAGCCCCCCUAGGAGAUUGAAGGAGGAAUACGCCAAAGGAAUCAUCUGCCUUUUUCCUUACUUGGCUGACCCCCUGAGCAAGCUUGGCUAUGAACAUUUUUAUAAUGCUGAAGAUGGAAGUGGGUAUUUGGCUUGGAGAAUCAAAACUCUGCAGAAAGAGGUGUCCGAGGGGCGAAUGAAACGGUCACGACAACU